rnacentral:rRNA from 1 species
UAGGGCCUACGGGGCGCAGCAGUGGGGAAUAUUGCACAAUGGGGGAAACCCUGAUGCAGCAACGCCGCGUGAAGGAAGACGGUUUUCGGAUUGUAAACUUCUGUUCUUAGUGAAGAAGAAUGACGGUAGCUAAGGAGCAAGCCACGGCUAACUACGUGCCAGCAGCCGCGGUAAUACGUAGGUGGCAAGCGUUGUCCGGAAUUACUGGGCGUAAAGGGCGCGUAGGUGGGCGCUUAAGUCAGGUGUGAAAACUCCGGGCUCAACCUGGAGACUGCACUUGACACUGGGUGUCU